UCCCUUAAGUGUAGAGAAUAAAGAAUUAAUCUACACCAUUAAAUCCCCUCAAUCAGACGGUUUAAACAAAAUCAAUAUCUAAAUCUUAAAUGUAUUUAUCAAAAUCCGAAUUACAUUUUAUUUCCAAUUAAGGGUAUUCAAGUAAAUUGGCAAUAGUUGAAAAAUGGUAUACCUAAAAAAACUCCUCAUUCACCCACUUUCACUCCCCCAUUGCCGACUCUUUCUCUCUCUCUCUAAUCUAUCAUUCUAUUUCUUCUUCGGUGGACGGCGAGAACUUGACGCCUGAGUCGUAGAAGAGGACCAUGGCCACAGUCGGCGCGGAGGGAGGCGUCUUCGGCCUUGCAGGUGAAGGAGGUCGGGGUCUGCUCGCACAUCUCAAAAAAUCCGACGCAGCCAUGGCGCAACGCCAGCUUGUUGGCGGCGUGGAUCUGGUACAGUAAUUAGUUGACUCAGUUUGUUCUUCAACGUUUUUUAGCCGCUAUUCGAACUAUUUUUUCGAUUGGACAGAGCAGAAACCCGACACCAAGAUCUGCUACAGUAAUUAGUUGAUUCUAUGGAAAUCGUUCGUAGAUUUGUGCAUGAGGAUCUUCAUUCUGCAUUUUCUGUUAUUGUGUAUUCAUAUGGAAUUUGCUCCUACCGAAGAGGGGAUGAAUUGUGUUAUGUUAAUAUGAAGUAUUGGAUUUGUAUAAUAUUUAUUUUUUAUUCAGAAAA